CAGCAGCAUUCUGAAUCUGAUCAAAUACAACUAGAAUUGCAAACAAAUAGUACAAGAUUUCAUGUUCUGGUUGGUUUGACUGGCAGUGUAGCUGCACUCAAGGCGCCUUUGUUGGCAAAACAACUGCUUGAGAUUCCAGUGGUUGAAGUCCGUGUGGUCACCACAGACCAUGCCACUCAUUUUUACGAUAUCAGUGAAGUCCCUGUCCGUGUGUACACAGACAAGGAUGAGUGGGAGACGUUGAGCAGACCUUUUAGUGAUUGGUCCACUGGAUGCCAACACACUUGGUAAAAUUGCCAGUGGAAUAUGUAACAACCUCCUGACAUGUGUGGUGCGGACCUGGGACCCCAGCCGUCCUCUGAUUUUCUGUCCUGCUAUGAACACAACCAUGUGGCAGCACCCUAUCACUGCACAGCAAGUAGCCACACUUAAGCUUUU